UUUAGUCGUGCCGGUUCAUGUUUUCAUCUGAACUUCUGUUUUCUUUUUGCUGUUUGUGCUUAGAUAAAUAUAAUAACUAAAAUUUUCAAAAUUUUUCCAAAAUGUCAGAUGGAGAAGAUGACUUUAUGUGUGAAGAAGAGGAAGACUAUGGACUGGAGUAUUCUGAGGAUUCAAAUUCCGAACCAGACGUAGACUUGGAAAAUCAGUACUAUAAUAGUAAGGCUUUAAAGGAGGAUGAUCCAAAAGCAGCAUUACAAAGUUUCCAAAAAGUUUUAGAUUUGGAAGGAGGUGAUAAAGGAGAAUGGGGUUUUAAAGCGCUUAAACAAAUGAUAAAAAUUAACUUCAAACUUUCUAAUUAUAAGGAGAUGAUGACCAGGUACAAACAGCUGCUCACCUAUAUUAAAAGUGCAGUAACGAGAAAUCAUUCAGAAAAAUCUAUAAACUCAAUUUUGGAUUAUAUUAGCACAUCCAAAAACAUGGAAUUGCUGCAAGAUUUUUAUGAAACUACUUUAGACGCUUUAAAAGACGCAAAAAAUGACAGACUGUGGUUUAAAACAAAUACAAAAUUAGGAAAGCUAUAUUUUGAUCGAUCAGAUUUUAAUAAAUUAGCAAAAAUACUGAAACAACUGCACCAAAGUUGUCAGACCGACGAUGGCGAAGAUGACUUAAAGAAAGGGACUCAAUUAUUGGAAAUUUAUGCGCUUGAAAUUCAAAUGUACACUGCACAGAAGAAUAACAAAAAACUAAAAACACUUUACGAACAAAGUUUACAUAUUAAAAGUGCGAUACCUCAUCCCCUCAUUAUGGGAGUCAUUAGAGAAUGUGGUGGGAAAAUGCAUUUAAGAGAAGGAGAAUUCGAGCGAGCACACACCGAUUUUUUUGAAGCAUUUAAAAAUUACGAUGAAUCAGGUUCGCCGAGACGUACAACCUGUUUAAAAUAUUUAGUGUUAGCAAACAUGUUAAUGAAAUCGGGAAUAAAUCCAUUCGAUUCACAGGAAGCGAAACCUUACAAAAAUGAUCCAGAAAUUUUGGCCAUGACAAAUCUUGUUGUUAGUUAUCAAAAUAAUGACAUUAAUCAAUUUGAAUUAAUUCUCAAACAAAACAGGAGCAAUAUAAUGGGAGAUCCAUUUAUUCGAGAACACAUUGAAGAUUUGCUACGAAAUAUUAGAACUCAGGUUCUCAUUAAGUUAAUUAAACCUUACACAAGGAUUCACAUCCCCUUCAUAAGCAAAGAAUUAAACAUUGAUGCAUCUGAAGUUGAAAGUCUAUUAGUUUCCUGUAUUCUGGAUAAUACAAUUCGUGGGCGUAUUGAUCAGGUUAAUCAAGUGCUGGAACUCGACAAGAAGUCAAUUUGUGCUGCACGGUACAAUGCUUUGGAUAAGUGGACAACGCAAUUACAAUCAUUGCAUGUGGCAAUUUUAAACAAAAUGGCGUGAACAUGAGAUGUGCCAGUGGUAUGAUUAAUGGAUAAUUAUUAAGCCUAGUUUAUUUGUGAACGCGUGAAAGAGAAAAAAAAUUUUUCUUAUUAAAUUAAUAUUUACGACAAUUUUCUUUGACAAAUAAAAAUUAACGAUUUUAUAGGAUUUAUCUAUAAUAAUUAUACAAAAAUAGAUUUCUCUAAAAUUGAAAAUUUAAUUUUACUCGCGAUAUACUUUUCAAAGUAGUUUUCUUAAAAGUUGAAGGAAACUUGGCUACUAAUGAAAUUCUUAAUUUUCUUCUGAGCUGUUUACAUCGUCUGACGAGAAUUGAUAUCAUCUCCCGAAGAUCAGUUUCUUUUAAUCAAGAAUUAAAAAAAAAAAAAACCCUCUCUUAAUCUGACAUGUUUUCUUUUCGCGUGAGAAAAAUGAGUUUAAAUUCAGUAAAUGACAAUCUCCCGAGAGCGAGUUAAAUAAUUUUAUUAUCUUUUUGUUUUAUUAAUUAGAAAAAUUAAUGUUAAAUUGAAUGUUAAUGGGUGAAAUUUAUGUAAUUAAAAAUACAAUUUUAAAAGUUAUUAAUAAUAAAAAAUUUAAAUAUCGAGUUUUAUGGACAAAGUUUGGUGGCUUAAUAAAAAGCAAAAAAAAAAAAAAGAUCAAAGUUUAUAUUAGUUUGUAAACAAUUUGUACCACAUGAUUUAUAAAGCUAAUGAAGAGUAUUAAAUAAUUAAUUACCGAGAAUGCUUUGAAGUGGGAAUGUACUAAAACAAAGUAACUGACAAAUAAAAUACUUUUCCAAUAAAUAAUAAAUAAACAUAAUUAAUUAAUAAUUGAUUUAUAAAUAAUAAAAGAAAUAAUAAAUUUAAUUAAUUUAAA